rnacentral:rRNA from 1 species
AAAGAUUUAUCGGUACAAGAUGAGCAUGCGUCCCAUUAGCUAGUUGGUAUGGUAACGGCAUACCAAGGCAAUGAUGGGUAGGGGUCCUGAGAGGGAGAUCCCCCACACUGGUACUGAGACACGGACCAGACUCCUACGGGAGGCAGCAGUGAGGAAUAUUGGUCAAUGGACGCAAGUCUGAACCAGCCAUGCCGCGUGCAGGAUGACGGUCCUAUGGAUUGUAAACUGCUUUUGUACGGGAAGAAACCACUCUUCGUGAAGAGUAUUGACGGUACCGUAAGAAUAAGGAUCGGCUAACUCCGUGCCAGCAGCCGCGGUAAUACGGAGGAUCCAAGCGUUAUCCGGAAUCAUUGGGUUUAAAGGGUCCGUAGGCGGUUUUAUAAGUCAGUGGUGAAAUCCGGCAGCUCAACUGUCGAACUGCCAUUGAUACUGUAGAACUUGAAUUAUUGUGAAGUAACUAGAAUAUGUAGUGUAGCGGUGAAAUGCUUAGAGAUUACAUGGAAUACCAAUUGCGAAGGCAGGUUACUAACAAUACAUUGACGCUGAUGGACGAAAGCGUGGGGGAGCGAACAGGAUUAGAUACCCUGGUAGUCCACGCCGUAAACGAUGGAUACUAGCUGUUUGAGAGCAAUCUUGAGUGGCUAAGCGAAAGUGAUAAGUAUCCCACCUGGGGAGUACGAACGCAAGUUUGAAACUCAAGGAAUUGACGGGGGCCCGCACAAGCGGUGG